UUUUUUUUAAUUAUGGAAGAUAAAGAUUGCUUUAUCUUCUGCCCCAUGGCACUUUGUGCUCUUCUGCUUAAAGAUUCUUGCAUGAUCUGGUGUCAGUUGUGCCUCUGACAAGGACAGGAACUUUCUGCAUUAUCUGAAGGCUCUUCUAAUGUGAAUAUCAGCAUGUAAAUGAGUCCCUGCAGAACGCAGAGCACAGCGUCACAGCUCACCUCUCCCAGCCAGUUGUGGAGUCAGGGAAAACAAAACACCAAGGAGGAAAAUGUAGAAAAUUAAGAAAACGUCUGGAAUACUGCACCUGGUUUUGAGACAUCAGUAGAGGAAAAACAUUGAUAAACAGGAGUGAGUCCAGUGGAGAGCCACCAAAACAAUCCACAGGGGCUGGGGCAGCUGUGAGGACCAGCUAAGGGAGCACGACUUUUUCAGUCUGGAAAAGAGAUGACUUUGAGGGGUGGGAGACUAACAGCCCUCUGGUGCCUGGGAGGAGAUUAUUGAAAAUGUUGAAGGCAAUUUGCUGAGAAGAUGGAGGUGGGUUUUUCACAGCAGUGGUGUGGUGAGAGAACAAGAGGCUACAGGAAUGAGCUGGAAGAAAGGUGCAAACUGGUUAUGAAGGUUCCUUUUCUGACUACAGGGA